rnacentral:rRNA from 1 species
CCUGAUGCAGCCAUGCCGCGUGUAUGAAGAAGGCCUUCGGGUUGUAAAGUACUUUCAGUCGUGAGGAAGGGUGAGCAGUUAAUAGCUGUUUAUCUUGACGUUAGCGACAGAAGAAGCACCGGCUAACUCCGUGCCAGCAGCCGCGGUAAUAA